rnacentral:lncRNA from 1 species
CUCUUUUUAUAAAAAAUAAUACGCACUAAAUAUAUUAAGUCAAUAUAUUGUUUCUACUUUCUAGGGCUUUCUCUAUAUCUCAUUAUUUCUGCCACAAAUUCCCACCAGAAGAGACACAGAAAACCAGAAGAAGAAAGGGAGAAGAAGAAAGGGAAACAGGACAGGGGAGAAAAUAAAAAUAAAAAGAGAAAAAUUUAUGGUGACUCUCAUCCAAUAGAAGAGUGGUGGUAGAGAACUUGUUUUACCAUCUUCCAUCAAUGGACUCAAAUUUCAUGUAAGUUGUUUUACAUCUUUAAUUUUUUUUGAGAUACAUGUGUUUUUUUUCAGUUGAGGGUGAUUUUUUAUGAAACCAAAUACCACAAUUUAUAUAGUUGAUUGGUGUUAAAUUUUUUUACAGUGGUGGUUGAUGAAUUAAAUUGGUCAUUGAUAUUGGCAGUUGGAGUUUAUUACUACAAAUUUUGUGGUUGAAAGAGAUGGGUUGUGGAAUUUUUAUUAUUCUUUAUGUUUACCCAAUUUGUUAAAUUGUAAUUUUGG